rnacentral:misc_RNA from 1 species
CCGUUGUUUGCACUAAUUUCUCCAUUUCAAUUGUUUUUUCUGCAUCAGUUUGUCACAUGAACGACUGAUCGUGUGUUCUGAACCGAGGAAGGUCACUCGUGGAGUUUACAUCUGUUUGGUAAACAAGCACUAGAUGCUGGUCUGUUUAUAUAGUUUUCAGUGUUUUUCGAGGAAGGCAAAUAACUUUUGGAUCAUAGGAGUGCAUGGAAAAGCCCUUUCUUCAUUGAGAUUCAAAAUCCAGGUUUUGAUUUUCUGGCCAACACAAUUUCUCUUCACCAUUUAGCCUUUCUCAUUGUUACAGAAGUCAGAUCGCCCCCACCAGGAUGUUCUCUUUUCACAUAUUUCCUCGCUUGAUAAAGAAACAUGAAAAAGAGGUUCAUUGUUCACCAGUUACAUGUUUCUGUAUUAGAUCAGGAACACAACACUUAAAACAUACAGACCAAGCUAAGAAGAUAAGUCUCCAUCUUCGCAGGAGGCGAUUAAGGUGUUGCUGAUGGUGGUUUCACUGUUAUUGCUGAUGUUGGUGUCAGUCGUAUUAUCUAGUUGAGGAUUUGCUGUGAUUGAGAUAGAGAGAUUAGUGUUUAAGUUUAUACUCCCUUUCUUGGGAAAGAUUGCAGUAGGGAGUAGACAACUGCUAGUAGUGGAGAUAAUCUCAGGGUUGGCAUUGAGAAGAGCAGAUGAUUGGGAAGCUUCCACGCGCUUCUUUGCACCUCUAUGCAUAUGCAUCUUGCAAUACUUCUCGCUAGGCACAACGUCUCUGCGGCAUCGCCACUUCUUUCCAUCUGUUCUUCUACACCUACCUGGUUCAACAUCAACGUAACUUCUGUACAAGCAUGUGGAUGCGGUGCCACAAUUUUGAACUUGAAGAACACUAUUUGGUGAGAAGUUCAAUCCUUGAUAUGCAACGCCUUUGGUAUUUGUGAUGUUUCUGCUGUUGUUGGCUCCAUCGAUUAGAUUCUUCAAACUAACAUUGUUGCUACAAUUGACAUUCCUAUCAGCAAUAGUUUUAGUCUUGUGAUUGUUGUUACUUCCACCCUUGUUAGUUCCCACAGUUGCUGUGGUGAUGGUGGAGUCCGUGGGAACAGUGCUGGUGAUCAUGAUUGCAGUAGCAUUUAUGCAGCCAGCAAUGCCCCUAGGAUUCAAGCUCGUGUUAAUGCUUUUUGGGCAACUAACUACAAAAGCAGCCUUCGUUGUACCAGUCGUUUUGGCAUCAACAUUACUGCAGGCCAUGCCAUACUGUUUAUGGUUACUUGAGAGAGUUGCAGGGAUUGGACUGGAACCACUGGUUCCUGAAUUCUGUGAAGUCUUGCUUGAGUUGUUUAGUGGUGUUGCAUUAGAAGCUGUGACUUCCACAGUCAUUUUUGAACGCUGACAGCCUCUGUGCAUGUGCCGCUCACAAUAUUUCUGACCAGAAACCACAGUCUUCUUACACCUCCAUUUCUUCCCAUCAGUUCUUCUACACCUCCCUGGUUCUGGAUCCAUCAUGUUUCUGUAAUCAAAUGCCUGAGGACUGAAACCCACAAAGCUGGGGUUUAGUCCAUUAACGAACCCAAAAGAUGAAGCCACGCUAUUCCAAGUGGGAAGUACAAGUGCAGAAGGCACAGGGAGGCCAGCCGCUAUGUACUUGUAUAUCAUCACUUGUAGCUGUAGCUCAGCCAGCUGAGCUGCUGUUAGCUGAGACUUCCACCGCUUGAUUACAGGACCACGAUCAUCACCGAUCCCGCUACACAACUUCAUCGACGGUGAUUCUACUCCUUUCCUUACUUGCUGACUCUUCUUUUUUUCCGAAAUCACCUUCCGUACUUUAUCAUCACUCCAGAGGCGGAGCUUUGGAGAUGUUUAGCCUCCAUGGCCAUGUCGAUCGAAGAUCAAAUAACUUGUGAAGAGGCCAAUUGCCAAAGCUGUUGAGCUAAUUACUUACUGAUG